GCUCGCGCGGACCGAGUGCUUUCGCUUUUACCUUUAAGCGCCGAACCAAACAGCCGCAAUGAGGGACGUGCGCGCACGUGUCAUUUUUCUGACAGACGUAGAGGAAAGAGUUGUUUAGGUGUGUGUGUGUGUUUUUUUUUUCCAGAGACAAUCUCAUGUGCGGUCCGAAGUAAUUAAGCGCAAUUUCAGGCUUGUACUUUUUGGUUCGGGGAAAGUCCAGAGUGAAUGUGAGUGAGGGACUAACUGGGGGGAGAAAGAAAGUACAGCGGUGGAAAGUACCACAGGGCGGAGGGGUGCGACGCGCGCAGCCUCAAGAUGAAGUGAGAGAUGCGCCAGGAACGUUGUCGUUGACAGCAGACCGGACUCCGCUCGGACCCUAUUGCAAGGACGAAAGACUUUGGCAAGAGACGAGGCAAUGUAAGAAAUGGCGAGCAAUAUCCCCAAUAGAGAAUAAAAGGAUGAGACUGUCAGUGUUGAUACUCCUCUCAGUGUUGUCAGUUCAAGGGAGAGGGUGCAGUGAAUUUUUAAUGGGCGUAGUUGAAAAUCUUCUCAUUGACAUCAAGAGCCAGAAAAGCACUGGAUUUCGUGAAGUUUUUCCUCGGAAUUAUGAAUUUUCCCACUAUUACAAUGAUACCCUGCUGUGUGACGACGACCCUUGCUGUGUGUUCAGGGCAGCAGCUAUACUGUCAAAAUCCUGGUCUGAGCUUCUUACUGUAUUGUGGAGAGAAAACCUUAAAUAUGCAUUUAUCAGAGACCUGGUGCAGCAACUGGAUGUGAUUUAUGACAAGAAAUUCCUCAAACUGCCUGACAUCUCUAACCUGCCUUCUGUUUCUUCUUCUCCGGAAGUUCUGCUCACCUACACAGAAGCUGUUUUUUCAAAGUGGUUAGAGCAGAAAUGUGGUGUGACUGAGAAUAUAUGUACCUUCCCUACGUUGCUCACAAGUUUGGAGGAAGAAGAUCCACAUGAAAGAAUAACAGAAUGGAAAAGGAUGACUACAUUUCCUCCUUACGUACAACAGAAAAGGACACAUUUAAAUAGGCAAGCUCAGUUAACAGAUGGCUCAGUAUCUAUACAAUCAUUGAAUUCUGUCUGUGGGCAUCUUUCCCUGUUUUGGGCUUUACAGAAAGUCAUAUUUUGAAUGAAACAGCGAUAAUACGUUGUAUUUUUACAUGCAUCAAAAUUUGGGUAGCAAGUUGACUCAGCUAAUAAUAUUGUCAUGUCACAACCAUUCAAGUUUGAAUUUGCUCUCAACCCUGCGUUUACAGCAUUUGCAUGUAUUCCCUGUGUUCACAUGGCCUUCCUUUGGGUAUUCUGAUUUCCUGUCACAUUUCAAAAACGUACCGUUCACGUGAGUUCAUUAUUCCAUGUUUUUCUCUGACUGUAUGUAUGUCUAUGAGAGAGUGUGCCCUGUGAUGGUCUUUGUGUCUUGGGUGAGCAAUGUCUUACAUCUUGUGUUUCUUUGGAUAUCACUCUGUCUGUGUGUGUAUGUACCAGCCAGUUGAAGAUAUCAUAAUGUGUCUACUUGGAAACUGGGAAAAUGUAGGUGGGAUAUACAAAAUAUGGUAAUGUAAUCUUUUCAGUUGUAAUGGACAAAGGAACAAGAAAAUAUGUUAUUACCCACAAAAAAGGGAAAACAAAGCAAGAUGCAUCUCACUGUACAGCCCAAAUAUUUAAAAAUACAUUUAAAUUAAUCCAGGUACAUAAAUUAACUUAAGAUCAUUGUAUAUAUGUUCACACCUAAUCGCACUAUAUAUAGCACUGUCACUUUGAUAGCUACCAUAUUUAUUUCAUGUAAUCUGUUGACAUAAAGUUAACAUUUCAGACUACCUGUACAAAUAUCAGAGGAUGUGGUGGUGCAGUGGGUUGGACCACAGUUCUGCUCUCCAGUGGGUCUGGG